GUCUCAUUUUAAAAUUUACCAUUACUCUGUCAAACACAACAAGCGUAAAAGUUGAGAGUAAGCUAAAGGGGGGGGGGGAUGAAUGAUGAUGGAUGAUGCGCGAGAACCUUGCGCGAUUCACGGACACCACCACCACCACCAACCACACCACCACCACCUAACCACUCACCACAUAAUAUGAUUUGUAAUGAUCCUUCCGCAGGUUCACCUACGGAAA
rnacentral:misc_RNA from 1 species